ensembl:lncRNA
CAUGUCAUCCUUUCGCCUUAGCCGAGCCUAGUUCGUCCGUACUCUACUGGAAGGCGGUGGCUGAGUCCGCCCUGUUCUGGGCGGUAGCCGUGGAGGCGGACCUGGCCCGCCCACCCUGACUAGCUCUCCUUCUCCUAUUGGGGACCAGAGAGAGUGGCGAGGGCGGUGUCCUCAGGGGCCGCCCUCCGAGUGUGAAGGCUAGGCUUUGGCCCUUAGGGUGGAAGGGCUGCUGGCCUGGUCUGGGGCUCUCGACACUGGCGCUCCACAAGGUUUUUGCUCAGCCUGUAAGUCCCCUUCAGCAGCCACUGAGACCUUUUCUGCAAGCCCUCUGUCGCUGCCUUAGUUUUCCCAUCUGUCAAAUGAAGUAUGCCCAACAUCUUUUAAACCUUUACAUUUUUUCCCAUUAACAUGUAGGGGAUUUUUUUUGUCUUCAAAUGUUUUUCAAAGCUAUCCUUAAUUUUUCCUAUUUUGAGAUUAAUCUAAAAUAGUUCUUCCAUUCUUGUUACAACUUUUCAUAAGAAGACUCCAGAAAUCACUGAAGUGCCCUUUAAGGUCUCUGCCAGCUUAGAUUCAAUGGUUGUUAGUUCUACAGUAGUACUGAUUCUGGUAUGAUAUAGGAGAAACAAAUGUAACUCCCAACCUGUUAGAUGUCUGAUAUGCCGAGGUCGUGUUUUCUAAAAUCGAAGAAUGAAUUUUAGGAAAUACAGGUUAAGAGUAGGAAAUAUUUAUUGAGGAAUAGAGAGUUCCUACCUGAGAGUGACAGGAGGAGACCCAGAAAGUAGGUUGCCACGGACUCUGCUUACAGGGGAGGCUUUAUAGAUCAAAAUCAAGAGGCCAACAAAAUAAUUCCAAAGUGGAAUCCAUAUGAAAAGGAUCAAUAGAUUUGACCAUAUAAAUGCAAAAAAUCUGGUUCAUAGGUGACUACAGACCUCAACUGUCCCCUGAAUGAAGCCAUGUGACUAAGAUUUGGCUGGUGAGAUGGCAGUGGAUAGAUGGCUGAGCUUUCUGGGUUCUGCCAUUCAAGAGAAGGAUUUACCCUUUAUGUGAAGGGGGAGUCAGGCCCAAGAGAAAAUAGGAAUCAGCUGAUGCAGAAGCAGCUGGCUGGACUCAGGAAGUAGGUGGAGAUGCUGAAUCCUAAUACCAGUAUAUCGGUCAAUGCUUACUAGAGAAAAAGACUUAAUGCAAGAUAUACAAAUAUGUAAUAAUUUACAAGAUUGUCUUACAGUUGGUGCUGGGUGUGGAAGAGUGCAAAAGGUCUGUUGGCGCGCUGGAGAUCUGAAAGGUCCAGUUGAAGGCCUGGAGCUCACAGUAGUGUCCUGUGUAAGUCUGUAUGAAGAGGCUGAAGGGUCUGCCAUUGAAGGCUGUAGGAUCUGUGAUGGAAGCCAAGAGAUGAUGUCCAAGGUGAAGAUGAAG